GACGAACGCUGGCGGCGUGCUUAACACAUGCAAGUCGAACGGAAAGGCCCUGCUUUUGUGGGGUGCUCGAGUGGCGAACGGGUGAGUAACACGUGAGUAACCUGCCCUUGACUUUGGGAUAACUUCAGGAAACUGGGGCUAAUACCGGAUAGGAGCUCCUGCUGCAUGGUGGGGGUUGGAAAGUUUCGGCGGUUGGGGAUGGACUCGCGGCUUAUCAGCUUGUUGGUGGGGUAGUGGCUUACCAAGGCUUUGACGGGUAGCCGGCCUGAGAGGGUGACCGGCCACAUUGGGACUGAGAUACGGCCCAGACUCCUACGGGAGGCAGCAGUGGGGAAUAUUGCACAAUGGGCGGAAGCCUGAUGCAGCAACGCCGCGUGCGGGAUGACGGCCUUCGGGUUGUAAACCGCUUUCGCCUGUGACGAAGCGUGAGUGACGGUAAUGGGUAAAGAAGCACCGGCUAACUACGUGCCAGCAGCCGCGGUGAUACGUAGGGUGCGAGCGUUGUCCGGAUUUAUUGGGCGUAAAGGGCUCGUAGGUGGUUGAUCGCGUCGGAAGUGUAAUCUUGGGGCUUAACCCUGAGCGUGCUUUCGAUACGGGUUGACUUGAGGAAGGUAGGGGAGAAUGGAAUUCCUGGUGGAGCGGUGGAAUGCGCAGAUAUCAGGAGGAACACCAGUGGCGAAGGCGGUUCUCUGGGCCUUUCCUGACGCUGAGGAGCGAAAGCGUGGGGAGCGAACAGGCUUAGAUACCCUGGUAGUCCACGCUGUAAACGGUGGGUACUAGGUGUGGGGUCCAUUCCACGGGUUCCGUGCCGUAGCUAACGCUUUAAGUACCCCGCCUGGGGAGUACGGCCGCAAGGCUAAAACUCAAAGGAAUUGUCGGGGCCCCGCACAAGCGGCGGAGCAUGCGGAUUAAUUCGAUGCAACGCGUAGAACCUUACCUGGGUUUGACAUGGAUCGGGAGUGCUCAGAGAUGGGUGUGCCUCUUUUGGGGUCGGUUCACAGGUGGUGCAUGCCUGUCGUCAGCUCGUGUCGUGAGAUGUUGGGUUAAGUCCCGCAACGAGCGCAACCCUUGUUCACUGUUGCCAGCACGUUAUGGUGGGGACUCAGUGGAGACCGCCGGGGUCAACUCGGAGGAAGGUGGGGAUGACGUCAAGUCAUCAUGCCCCUUAUGUCCAGGGCUUCACGCAUGCUACAAUGGCUGGUACAGAGAGUGGCGAGCCUGUGAGGGUGAGCGAAUCUCGGAAAGCCGGUCUCAGUUCGGAUUGGGGUCUGCAACUCGACCUCAUGAAGUCGGAGUCGCUAGUAAUCGCAGAUCAGCAACGCUGCGGUGAAUACGUUCCCGGG
rnacentral:rRNA from 1 species